UCAUUUCAAGAUGAGUCAGAGUGAAGCAGA
rnacentral:piRNA from 1 species